rnacentral:lncRNA from 10 species
AGCCAGCCAAAUGUGUUUCAGAUCCUAAAUCCUCCACCUAAGGGGAGUUGCUGAGUCAGCCCAGACCGGAAGGAGUGGCAGAGAUCAUUUGCCCCAAGAACGGCAGCGAGCGAGUAAAUGUUGCCUUGGUUUACCCACCCACGCCGACUGUGAUCAGCCCCUGUUCCAAGUAUCUUCAUACUUUCUUGGAAAAUUAAGUGGAAAAGAUAGUGCUUCUUUUCCUUAUGCCAUCAUUUUUACUGUACCCAAACUGUGACUUUAGGAGCACCAAUUUUUAAGGGAAGAAUGUUGGUGAAAAGCACAGAAACCAGUGACGUUUGUGGCUGUGGAAUUUCCAUGGAGAAAAGAGAGCAUCUGAACACCUGGACCAUCUUUUGCACCUGGCAGACCCUCUGCACUCACCCCAGCGUGUUCUGUGAACUUGAGUGACAACGCGUGCUUGCAGGGUGCUUUUUGGACGACUGGGGAAGAGGUGGGGAGGGGGUGGUGGGGGGAAGCAUGGACGAGAACAUGGAGCAAAUGUUUUACAACCUGAACCUCAGAACUGUGAUCCUCCAAGGAGCGCGCUACUUGAAGA